UUGGGUUUAAAGGGCGCGUAGGCGGGACGCCAAGUCAGCGGUAAAAGACUGCAGCUAAACUGUAGCACGCCGUUGAAACUGGCGCCCUCGAGACGAGACGAGGGAGGCGGAACAAGUGAAGUAGCGGUGAAAUGCUUAGAUAUCACUUGGAACCCCGAUAGCGAAGGCAGCUUCCCAGGCUCGGUCUGACGCUGAUGCGCGAGAGCGUGGGUAGCGAACAGGAUUAGAUACCCUGGUAGUCCACGCCGUAAACGAUGCUCACUGGAUCUUGGCGAUACACCGCCAGGGUUCAAGCGAAAGUAUUAAGUGAGCCACCUGGGGAGUACGUCGGCAACGAUGAAACUCAAAGGAAUUGACGGGAGCCCGCACAAGCGGUGGAGCAUGUGGUUUAAUUCGAAGCAACGCGCAGAACCUUACCAACCCUUGACAUCCCUAUCGCGGUUACCAGAGAUGGUUUCCUUCAGCUCGGCUGGAUAGGUGACAGGUGCUGCAUGGCU
rnacentral:rRNA from 1 species